ensembl:lncRNA
GCUCUUCUGCCAAAAGUUGUACAUGCACAAAAACCAGCUCACGCAUGCACAAACACAUCCUUUACCACCCUUCCCUGUUUUCAUUUAGUCUGCUUUUCUAUUCAUUGCUCUCUCUCUCUCAGGUGGUCUCGGAACCAAAAACUAGUGCUUUGAUUCAUUAGUGCUGCACAAGGUCCAAUUGUUUCGCUCACAAUUGAUAUUGAUUGGGAUUGGGGGGAACAGUAAUUGGAGGAGGAUUUUUGACUGGUUGCACCUGCUCACCUGAUGGGCCUUCAUUUGCUCUUCUUUCUUCUGGGAAUAAUCAGUGAUUCAUCUUCACUGCCUGCUCUCUGCAGAACUUAAUGGGUGGUAACUCUUCUUCAGAGAUGCAAGAAACUUAAAGCUGUGAACCUUUCCUGAUUUUCAGUUUAAGUCCAGAGUAUCGAGCGCUGCUGCCAUUGAUCCCGCAGGAAAGGAGGUGGAGCAGCUGUCUAAGUUGACUGGAGGGAAAGUGAAGGACAUCUCCAAAGAGACUGACGUAAAUAUCCUCAAGAACUUGAGCUGCAGAAAAAGGUGGCAGAGCUGGAGAAGCAUGGAGAUGAGUUGGAGGUCGAAAUAGAAGCCAAGAAAGCGAAAUACCUGGAGGAGAUAGAGGAGCUGGAGGUACAAACACUCACUGAUCAUAUUCUACUGCAGCAGUUCUCAGUAUCUCACCACUGUGCUGUCUCUGUUCAGAAUUACCUUUGUCAGCUGGAGGAGGAGGAGGCUGAUCUUCAGUUCCAGAUGAAGGAUCAGAGUGGGGAUUAUGAAGAACUGCUGAAUCAGAAGAUGAAUCUAGUCAUCGAAAUUGCUGCUUACAGGUGAUACAUGUUAUGAAGAUCAUUAGUGGUGCUGUGUGAAGGCAAGCAUUGCUGUUAUUAUUGUUCAUACAUUAACAUGAUACACUAACAUUCAAAAGUUUGGGGUCAGUGAAAUAUUUAAAUGUUUUUUCUCUCUUGGUCAUUGUCUUUUUAUUUGAUCAGUAAUACAGUAAAAAGUGAAACAGUCUAAAAGUGAAAGCUAAGAGUCAAAUAUUGGGAAAGGACAUCUCAGGAACGCACUCCAGUGGUCUUACCUCUCAGAUAGGUUCUUCAAGGUAUCUUGGAGAGGUAAGGUGUCCAAGUCUUGACAUCUAACUACUGGGGAGGCUCAGGGCUCAGUUCUUGGAC